rnacentral:lncRNA from 10 species
AAGCAAGACGUGUCUAGGAGGGAGGCACCAGGGAACUUCCCUCCCUCACUUGAGCACAAUCCAAGAUGAAAGUUUCUGGGUUGUGUCCCCUUCGCUUCCUCUCACCCUCGCUCCCCCGCGGAGCCAAGGAGCCAGCAAUUGUGCAAGAGGAGACCGGCGCACAGGGCGCGUAUCACGGAGCGCAUGGUACGAGCCGCCGGCUCCGGUGAUUAAUUAUCAGUAACCGAUGGCCUCGCGCUACCACGUCGGCUUUCCCAGCAGAGCCAGCAAGCCGAACGCCUCCAGCGCGGCCGGGACGGAGGAGCGGCUCUGGGGAAGACGCCGAGGCUGCGCCCGACCGGAGCCGGCGAAGGGAAUGCAGGGGCGGGCGCAGAGGGCUGGCUGGCAAGGAGGAGCGGAGCGGAGGAGCGAGGACCGAGCAGCACAGCCCGCCACGCACGCCGACUCCUCCAGCAACCCUCGGCGCUGGCAGCCAAGCCUGCACAGCCUCGUCUCUCUUCUCAGGUCUGAACGAAGCUGCCUCCAGCCACAUGAAGUCAGUAGGGCUGUUCUGAGGGGCCCCGAGAUUUGAUGACUGUUUUUUAGGUUGCGGAACCUACUCCGAGAGAGCAAACACUUUGGACGAAGUGAUUCAUAUUGAUAGAUACAUUUGUUGGGAGGUGGCUUUUUUCAUUCUCAACAGAAAACAAAGAAAUAAAUUAAGUCUUCCCCUGACCCAGAUUGUACUGUGAAACUUUUCAACAAUGUCUCUGCUUUCUUUUACUUCGGUAUCCUUUCCCCUUUUUCUUUUAAGACGCCCUUAGGGAAACCAUGAAGUAACCCUGCACAUUCCAGUAACACAGUUAUGACAAAACAAGAGCCUAACUAGGAAGUGACCACAUUUUAAAAAGUAUUUAGAAAGAAAAACACCAGAAACAAAAGUGCCCAUAACAAU